rnacentral:pre_miRNA from 4 species
GGCAAAAUUGCUGGGUCAUAUGGUAAGUUUACAUUUUACUUUUUAAGAAACUGUCAACCUGUUUUCCAAAGUGGCUACACCACUUUACAUUUCUACCAGCAAU